UGUCAUUUUUUCAUAUUUCAUACUGUUAAACACUAUUAUUUAAGGUUCAAAGCUGGCAUUGGUUUCACACUCAGAGAUAAGGAGGUUCCUGAAUGUCUUGAUAACUGAAGAGCAGAAAGCAUCAGUAACACAGUCAGAGCACAGAGAGCAUUAACACACAACUGAUCUGAUCAUAUUCACCAUGAACAAAUACAUGCUGCUGCUUUUCAUUAUGGCAUCAGGUGUGGCAGCUGUGGACAAAAUUGAGCCAAAUAAAGGGACGAGCAUCAUCAAAACAGAAGGAGAGACUGUAACGCUGAGCUGCUCUUAUGAUUCAGACAGUGAAAAUGUACGUCUGUACUGGUACAGACAAUAUCCUAAUGGAGAACCUCAAUAUUUAUUAUAUGAAGGAGCACGAUCAAACAGUGUUAAGCGCAGCUCUGAUCCUCGAUUCCAGUCAAGCACUUCUCGCAUAUUGACUGAACUUAUUAUUAGUAGUGUGACUGUGUCAGAUUCAGCUCUCUAUUACUGCGCUUUAAGAGUUGAAGCCCAGUGAUACAAAACACGAAACAAGUCGUACAAAAACUGC